UCAGCUCUUGCUUCGUGCAACUCCCAGCUCAGGAUCUGUCGACAUUGACAAUGUUCGAUUUUGCGAUACAUGCAAUUAAAAGGUAUAGUGCAAUCUGUUGAACGACUUGCAUGUUAUAAAUUCUCUGAAUAUUUAAAACAGUCGAGUAUGCUACCGUUUGCAAUCCACUUUGAACUAUAUGAAAUAUGUGAGAUCUCUAUAGAUGAGCAAUGAUGCUCUUAGAACAAACGCAAAUUAUGUUUAUUAAAUGUGAUGUAAAGUCCGUAAUGUAAACAAACGCUUUGUUUACAUUUUGAACUCAGUGCUACAGUUGUAAAAUAUGAUUAGAUAUAUAUUAUACUGAAUUUUUGACACUCUUCUGGUUCGCUAUGCUUGUAAAUGAAUGCAGACUAGAGAUUCAAUUCAAGAAAGUUCGGAAGGUGCGAAAUAUUAACAACAUUCCAAAGGUUGUUCCCCCAACACCGCGGAAAAACGUCUGCACAUGCACCAAAUUAUGAAAAUAUGGCGGGGAAUUUGAAUAUCAAUUUCUAAAACAAAAACAUGCUUAUUAAUUGGUCAAAAAUUAGUAAAAUAAACGAGAAAAUAUAGCAAAUGGGUAGACUAGACAUUAAUUGAAAGCGUCCUGGCAUUUAAAGUAUGGAAUGAAAUAUAAUUCAUGUAAAAAAUGUUGAUUUUAACGGAC